rnacentral:rRNA from 1 species
AGAGUUUGAUCCUGGCUCAGGACGAACGCUGGCGGCGUGCUUAACACAUGCAAGUCGAACGGAAAGGCCCUGCUUGCAGGGUGCUCGAGUGGCGAACGGGUGAGUAACACGUGGGUGAUCUGCCCUGCACUUCGGGAUAAGCUUGGGAAACUGGGUCUAAUACCGGAUAGGACCACAUGCUGCAUGGUGUGUGGUGGAAAGCUUUUUGCGGUGUGGGAUGGGCCCGCGGCCUAUCAGCUUGUUGGUGGGGUGAUGGCCUACCAAGGCGACGACGGGUAGCCGGCCUGAGAGGGUGUCCGGCCACACUGGGACUGAGAUACGGCCCAGACUCCUACGGGAGGCAGCAGUGGGGAAUAUUGCACAAUGGGCGCAAGCCUGAUGCAGCGACGCCGCGUGGGGGAUGACGGCCUUCGGGUUGUAAACCUCUUUCACCAUCGACGAAGGCCCGCGUUUGUGGGUUGACGGUAGGUGGAGAAGAAGCACCGGCCAACUACGUGCCAGCAGCCGCGGUAAUACGUAGGGUGCGAGCGUUGUCCGGAAUUACUGGGCGUAAAGAGCUCGUAGGUGGUUUGUCGC